rnacentral:rRNA from 1 species
UGGGGAAUAUUGGACAAUGGGCGCAAGCCUGAUCCAGCAAUGCCGCGUGAGUGAUGAAGGCCUUCGGGUUGUAAAGCUCUUUCGCACGCGACGAUGAUGACGGUAGCGUGAGAAGAAGCCCCGGCUAACUUCGUGCCAGCAGCCGCGGUAAUACGAAGGGGGCUAGCGUUGUUCGGAAUUACUGGGCGUAAAGGGCGCGUAGGCGGUGUGUCAAGUCAGGCGUGAAAGCCCCGGGCUCAACCUGGGAACCGCGCUUGAGACUGGCAUGCUCGAGUUCGGGAGAGGAUGGUGGAAUUCCCAGUGUAGAGGUGAAAUUCGUAGAUAUUGGGAAGAACACCGAUGGCGAAGGCAGCCAUCUGGACCGACACUGACGCUGAGGCGCGAAAGCGUGGGGAGCAAACA